CGGAUUUGACAUAUAAUUAUUCCGAGUGGAAAGAAACGUUUUAUUAAUUUAUUAUUUUGCAUAUAAUGGUUUUUCAUUAACACGUUCAGUGCUGCAACAAUGUAUUAUCUAUACAUCUCACCCGAAGCUUCUAGAAAAAGUCUCAUACACAAAUGACAAACUGCCCAGAAUAAAUAUAAAAACAUAAUAAGUUAUUUUUUUAAUGAGGUAAUAACACGUUGAACACAUGAUAAAAGUUACUGAUGUCUUUAUAUUUCACCACUGCCCAGAAGCGAUAUUAUUUGUAAUACAGGAUGUCCCAAAAACUGCUUUUAUUGAAUUGACUUAAAAUACUUUAUUUUUCCAACAAAUAUAACAAAAAAGGACAUGAGCAGUUUCGGAAUAAUCUCCGGCUUACGUUUGAAAAAAUAUAUCAUUCCAAUGAUUCUCCCUCUAGCUUGUUGACAGGCUGUAAUUCGUUCGAAAAAAUUAGCAAUAACUGCCUCUCAGUUCUCUGACCAGCUGACCACGAAACAAGGAUAAUGUUCACCCAAUGGAUCGUGAUCAAGCAAAUUGAGGAUGGCGGAUUAACAAAGAAAAUUAUUAUUUCAGACGAAGCACGUUUAUAUUUGUUUGAUUUUGUUAACAAACAACAUGUCGCAUUUGGGGCUCGGAAAAUAAACGUCAGUUUCAAUAAAGAUAAAUGCGCUCACAAUGGGUGUUUUUAGCUAAUUUAAAAAAAGUUUUUUUUUUUGAAACACAGUAGUGCUAUUCUAACAAUCAUUAUCGUCCUAGAACAACAACUUUGACUAUAUACUAUAUAUUGCGGAAAAAUAAAAAUACCUUGAAAAUAUAAUAAAAUAUGUAUAC